rnacentral:tRNA from 1 species
UGUAGCUCAGAGGUAGAGCAUUUGACUAGCAAAUAUAAGGUCCUGGAUUCAAAUCCUAGCA